GCCAGCGGUGGAGCAUGUGGUUUAAUUCGAAGCAACGCGAAGAACCUUACCAAGGUCUUGACAUCCUUCUGACCGGUACUUAACCGUACCUUCUCUUCGGAGCAGGAGUGACAGGUGGUGCAUGGUUGUCGUCAGCUCGUGUCGUGAGAUGUUGGGUUAAGUCCCGCAACGAGCGCAACCCUUAUCUUUAGUAGCCAGCGGUUCGGCCGGGCACUCUAGAGAGACUGCCAGGGAUAACCUGGAGGAAGGCGGGGAUGACGUCAAAUCAUCAUGCCCCUUAUGACUUGGGCUACACACGUGCUACAAUGGCGUAAACAAAGGGAAGCAAAGCUGUGAAGCCGAGCAAAUCUCAAAAAUAACGUCUCAGUUCGGACUGUAGUCUGCAACCCGACUACACGAAGCUGGAAUCGCUAGUAAUCGCAGAUCAGAAUGCUGCGGUGAAUACGUUCCCGGGUCUUGUACACACCGCCCGU
rnacentral:rRNA from 1 species